GACGAACGCUGGCGGCGUGCCUAAUACAUGCAAGUCGAGCGAAUCGAUGGGAGCUUGCUCCCUGAGAUUAGCGGCGGACGGGUGAGUAACACGUGGGUAACCUGCCUGUAAGACUGGGAUAACUUCGGGAAACCGGAGCUAAUACCGGAUACUUUCUUUUCUCGCAUGAGGGAAGAUGGAAAGAUGGUUCUGCUAUCACUUACAGAUGGACCCGCGGCGCAUUAGCUAGUUGGUGAGGUAACGGCUCACCAAGGCAACGAUGCGUAGCCGACCUGAGAGGGUGCUCGGCCACACUGGGACUGAGACACGGCACAGACGCCUACGGGAGGCAGCAGUAGGGAAUCUUCCGCAAUGGACGAAAGGCUGACGGAGCAACGCCGCGUGAGCGAAGAAGGCCUUCGGGUCGUAAAACUCUGUUGUUAGGGAAGAACAAGUACGAGAGUAACUGCUCGUACCUUGACGGUACCUAACCAGAAAGCCACGGCUAACUACGUGCCAGCAGCCGCCGUAACAC
rnacentral:rRNA from 1 species